rnacentral:lncRNA from 1 species
GGAAGAUAUUUGGAAGUCACGCGUGAUAAGGUUAAAACAUAAAUCUCAAAAACAACUUCCUAUUGCUGGAUUCUAACAUGAAAACUUUGUCACCAGAGGCAGAUGCUGACGCCCAUCUGCCAUCCCCAUCACCCUAGCAAAACCAAAACCUACUUGAAGAUAACAGCACUCACUGUUGCCCAUAGUGGCCGGUUUCCACUUCAUCUCACGACGUCCUCAGAGAUGGAUGGACGUCGAAUACUGACUUGUAUCACGGGUAACCUGGCUGCUCCUCCAAGCCUUCUCACCAAGAUGACAAUUCAUUAGUAAUUGACCACAGCAGCUUUGGUUAUGAAACAUUAACGUCCUGCUGGUGAAUUACUGAUUAAUGAUAUGAAGCGAUCGGAAAUCAGACAUAGACUACAGAUGAGGCCAUUGUGAGGAGGUGACUGAAGGAGAGGAACACUGUAAGGGGUGAGAGUAGCACUCAGAAUGCUCCCUCCAUCCCUUUAAACUCCAUUGCCUAAGAAUGCUCCGUUCUUUCUCUCACAACACAGAUCCUCUGUGGAAUGCCAUUACCUCACUCAUACAACCUCUCCCUCCAUGCUCUGAUUCUCUGUGUCUCUCUCUCUGUCUCUGCUCUGUCUCUAGAUCUCAGUCUCUGUUGUGACACUGCUCUGUCUGUCUGUGAGAGAGGAGGCAGGAGGGAGACUUGUCUUUAGAAGUUGCAUCAUUGGAUCAAACUAGCACCCUGAUGAAGACUAGCAUGGGAAAACCGUUUUUGUAUUGAUGGUUGAAUUGUGGCUGUGUCUGUGUUACACACAGAUAGGAGCAAUAUCUGACAGUACAUUUUCAGUGAAAGGUGAUUUAUGAGUGUAGAUACAUUAGGUGUAUGGUGGGAAGCACAGAAUAUAAUUACUGAGGGAAUGAAAUAUUUUCACAUGUAUUACAUUUAGAGUUCAAAAUGUUAACACAAACAUUUUCACAUGUGAGGAAAUAACAUGUUUUCACCUCAAAUGUGAAUUGCAGUUUCACAUGUGAAAAACAUUAAUAUGUGAAAAAUCUCACUUUUACAUGUGGAAUUCAAUCACAUGUGAAAAUCUAAUAUUUUAUUUAUUUAUUUUUAUUUAUUUCACCUUUAUUUAACCAGGUAGGCAAGUUGAGAACAAGUUCUCAUUUACAAUUGCGACCUGGCCAAGAUAAAGCAAAGCAGUUCGACAACAUACAAAAACACAGAGUUACACAUGGAGUAAAACAACAUACAAUCAAUGAUGCAGUAGAAGAAAAAAAAAAAGACUAUAUACAAUGUGAGCAAAUGAUGUGAGAUAAGGGAGGUAAAGGCAAAAAAAUGCCAUGGUGGCAAAGUAAAUAAAGUAUAGCAAGAAAAACACUGGAAUGGUAGAUUUGUAGUUUGAAGAAAGUUCAGAGAUAAAAUAUAAAUAAUAUGGUGCAAAGGAGCAAAAUAAAUUAAAUAAAUAAAUACAGUAGGGG